CGGGUCGACUCUGGAGAGCGGUCAUGAGACCCACCGACGGGGCAGGGGCCGGUAAGCCGGUUUCAAACUCUCAGGUUUUGGACAGAGGGGCGGCG
rnacentral:ncRNA from 2 species